GGGGGGGGGGGGGGGGGGGGGGGGGGGGGGGGGGGGGGGGGGGGGGGGGGGGGGGGGGGGGGGGGGGGGGGGGGGGGGGGGGGGGGGGGGGACACCUGAGCACACCUGGGCACACCUGGGAUACACCUGAGCACACCUGGGAUACACCUGAGAUACACCUGAGCACACCUGGCACACCUGGGAUACACCUGAGCACACCUGGGAUACACCUGAGAUACACCUGAGCACACCUGGCACACCUGGGAUACACCUGAGCACACCUGGGAUACACCUGAGAUACACCUGAGCACACCUGGCACACCUGGGAUACACCUGAGCACACCUGGGAUACACCUGAGAUACACCUGAGCACACCUGGCACACCUGGGAUACACCUGAGCACACCUGGGAUACACCUGAGAUACACCUGAGCACACCUGGCACACCUGGGAUACACCUGGGGGGGUUCAGGGGCAGCUUCCGGCAGACCCUGCCGCGCUUCCGGAGCGCCGACCACGACAGGAGACCUGGACACACCUGGGGACACCUGGGCACACCUGGGGACAGCACAGGGGCUUUUGGGGACAUUUGGGGACACUGGACCAGCAGCUCCCACAGCGCCGAGCGAGACAGGUACCGGACACACCUGGGGACACCUGGGACACACCUGAGGACACCUGGGGACACACCCGGGGCACCUGUGGGACACCUGGGACACACCUGGAGACACCUGGGACACACCUGAGGACACCUGGGGACACACCUGGGAGAUACCUGGGGGCACUUGGGACAUACCUGGGGACACACCUGGGCACACCUGGGGGCAGCUGGGACAUACCUGGGAGAUACCUGAGAACACCUGGGGGCACCUGUGGGACACCUGGGAGAUACCUGUGGGACACACCUGGGGACACACCUGGGGACACCUGGGACACACCUGGGGGCACACCUGGGGACACCUGAGACUCACCUGGGACUCACCUGGGAACACCUGGGACACACCUGGGGGCACACCUGGACUCACCUGGGACACACCUGGGACACACCUGGGACAGCUGGGACACACCUGGGACACACCUGGGAGGGGGGGGGGGGGGGGGGGGGGGGGGGGGGGGGGGGGGGGGGGGGGGGGGGGGGGGGGGGGGGGG
rnacentral:lncRNA from 12 species